UAGCCACCAUGUCUUUCACCUUGUCAAAACUAAUCUUCUGUCAUGGAGUCUUCGUUCCCAAAAGAAUUCGUAGUCGUUAUAAACCAAAUUUGCUUCCAGAUAACGUCCCUGAGUUGGCAUCCUUGAGGGCUGUUCUGCCGAGGCUUUUGUUUUUCAGGGUCAUUCCCCGUCUUCCUUAUGCCAAGGCUCACUCGGACCAGUGCGUCAGCAGGAUUCGCUUACAUUUCCCAAGAAGAUCGCCACUUUGCCUAACAGAGUAUCCCUGAUAACCCAUAUUCCAAAGGAUUUCACAGUGAGCUGUUCCAGCCAUCAAAUCUAUUCACCAAAGAAAACGGGAACAAAAGCACCUAGGUAUGUGAUACAGCACAGGGGUGUGGAACAGGUCUA
rnacentral:lncRNA from 1 species